GUGGAAACCACAGCCGCCGUCGGCCCCGUCCUCUCACGCUCGCGAUGUUGGCACUGGCACGCGCCGCUCGCCAACCGGAGUCGAGCGAGCGUGUUGCGCGACUGAAGCCGGCGUGGCCGGCCGCAACCCAGCGGUUAGCGUCGCCGGAUCCCUGGAGCUUGGGGCGUCCGGGCGAAGGGCAGCGUUUCAACCGGCGGGGCCCUUACUCUGCAUUGCACGCGCCGAUAUUUUCUUGGAUGUUUCAACUAUGAAGCACUGGAGAAGCUUAUGGGCCUUAGUGAUCUGGCUGCAAGGCACUCACUAAUGCACAAGGGAUUUCGCUCACUCGGCCUGUCAGCGGCUGAAAGCUUGUUUCCACAUUGAGCCUUGGGUUGUGCUUUGUGAUCUUUGUCAGGGCCUCGAAGUUGGUGCUAAUGGACGGAUCACGGAUGAUAACUCAUAUACCAACUUCACUCCAAUAAAUUUUCAAGUAGCUCGAAUACUCCAUACCGAGCAGCUCUCCUAGCGUAAUUCUCACCUCUUGCGAUUUUUUAUGUGUAGGUGUAUCAUGUCCGAGGUUGCAUCAGGAUUCAGGACCAGACACUGAAGACAUCUAACAAGAUUGUCCUCGUCCUUCUGCUCACCAGUCACGCUGCUGCCAUCCGUUCGAGUUCAGACCAUUCUCUGUCAGCUCCAACACUUGGAGUUAAGAUCUUAGGCUCUUAGUCAUCAAUCACAGCAACCAACCAUCCUAGUGCAGCAUCGAACAUCUAGCAUAACAACGCCAUUACAUUUGGAAGGCCCCCAUCGAUCUCAUCCGUGCCCCUCCUGUGGCUCCUGGAGAUGCCAAACAGCCAACCGUGUAAGUGGAAUGCGCGGCUGGCCGGCAAGCAUGCAAUGCAAUGCAACGCACGUAGCGUACGUGCGUCAAAGACUGGUGAAAAGAUGAGACCCGCCCCCGUCCGCACGGUGCGAUUAUGUUCUUCUGAAUGGCACAUCGGCGGCCGGAGGACCACCGGCGCGCCGAGGUGGAGGAGGAUGAACCUGGCCGCGUUCGUGCGUGUGCUGAGCCACAGUUUGCUGCCAAAGUCGUCCUUGUCGGGCACCACAUUGCGUGGCUUUUGACAUUUAUGUGUCACCCUCCCAUUAUUCCCCUCCAAUGGUGGACACGCAGCAUAGGCUCGGGAGCGGGCCAUGCCAUGUUUCCCUUGGAGCCGGGCGUGUCUCCGUGUGCCACUUGCGACAGUAGCCCGGCGGACAUCUGUCUCCGCGGCCCACGGAUUUUGUAAUGUCACUAGCUGAUUGAUUGACCAACAGACCAAGUGAUACGUUGCAUCAACACGUCGGCCGGUGAGCUUCGAAAUGCUGUACACAAAGGAUCAUUAUCUCGGGAAGUUCUGUACUUCUCUACUUCUGCAAGAGUUAUGUAGUACAGCUUUGCUUACUUGCUAAGACAGGUAGUACAGUUUAGUCUGGUGCAUGCACAAUAUGCAGGCAUUAUUACAUCGUCGUGUUAAUUACGUCAUCUGUACAAAGCAAACGAAUAUAGCUACGCCAUAUGCAUUCUGCCACUUGUUCGCUUAUUCCCAUUUUCCAA